ensembl:lncRNA
CAGACUUUGAUGUGUCACGAAGGCUGCUGCUGAUGGCAGUGUUUUAUAGCCCAGGUGAGGUCAGUGUCCUCUGGUGAAAGAUGAGGGCAGCCUCCCGGAUAGCAUUGGCUUAAUAAAGCGGUUCCUAACUUUGGAAAGGUCUCCCUUAUGAGAUGUGCUGCUAAAUGUCUCCUUUCAGUGGGUUCUCUUCUGGGAUUUCGGUUGGUGCAGCUCUUCUCCUUCAUGGCUCUGUGGUUAUGCAGAUGGAACGGCCUGAUUAGGAAGACUGAAGGACGGAGAGACUGGGAACGGAGUUCCUGGACAUCAGUGGGACCUUCUGCCUGCCCGGAGGGGACAGAGGUGCUGCAGCCUUGUAUUAUGGGAUGCAGGUGGAUGACCGACAUACAGUGUGGACCUGGGACCUACUGGGGGAAGUCCUGGAGGAAAAGCACUGCUCACAGAUCCAGGCGCAUCCCCUGAGCUGCAAACCAACGCUCUGCUCCUGGAGGCGAUGCUGUGGGUGCAGCACUGAGCACCAUCGGUGCACGGCUGUCCUUGAGGUCUCCAUGCA